CAUGCAAGUCGAACGAUGAUCCCAGCUUGCUGGGGGAUUAGUGGCGAACGGGUGAGUAACACGUGAGUAACCUGCCCUUGACUCUGGGAUAAGCCUGGGAAACUGGGUCUAAUACCGGAUACGACCAUUCCACGCAUGUGGUGGUGGUGGAAAGCUUUUGUGGUUUUGGAUGGACUCGCGGCCUAUCAGCUUGUUGGUGGGGUAAUGGCCUACCAAGGCGACGACGGGUAGCCGGCCUGAGAGGGUGACCGGCCACACUGGGACUGAGACACGGCCCAGACUCCUACGGGAGGCAGCAGUGGGGAAUAUUGCACAAUGGGCGCAAGCCUGAUGCAGCGACGCCGCGUGAGGGAUGACGGCCUUCGGGUUGUAAACCUCUUUCAGUAGGGAAGAAGCGAAAGUGACGGUACCUGCAGAAGAAGCGCCGGCUAACUACGUGCCAGCAGCCGCGGUAAUACGUAGGGCGCAAGCGUUAUCCGGAAUUAUUGGGCGUAAAGAGCUCGUAGGCGGUUUGUCGCGUCUGCUGUGAAAGACCGGGGCUCAACUCCGGUUCUGCAGUGGGUACGGGCAGACUAGAGUGCAGUAGGGGAGACUGGAAUUCCUGGUGUAGCGGUGAAAUGCGCAGAUAUCAGGAGGAACACCGAUGGCGAAGGCAGGUCUCUGGGCUGUAACUGACGCUGAGGAGCGAAAGCAUGGGGAGCGAACAGGAUUAGAUACCCUGGUAGUCCAUGCCGUAAACGUUGGGCACUAGGUGUGGGGGACAUUCCACGUUUUCCGCGCCGUAGCUAACGCAUUAAGUGCCCCGCCUGGGGAGUACGGCCGCAAGGCUAAAACUCAAAGGAAUUGACGGGGGCCCGCACAAGCGGCGGAGCAUGCGGAUUAAUUCGAUGCAACGCGAAGAACCUUACCAAGGCUUGACAUGAACCGGUAAUACCUGGAAACCAGUGCCCCGCUUGCGUCUGGUUUACAGGUGGUGCAUGGUUGUCGUCAGCUCGUGUCGUGAGAUGUUGGGUUAAGUCCCGCAACGAGCGCAACCCUCGUUCUAUGUUGCCAGCGGUUCGGCCGGGGACUCAUAGGAGACUGCCGGGGUCAACUCGGAGGAAGGUGGGGACGACGUCAAAUCAUCAUGCCCCUUAUGUCUUGGGCUUCACGCAUGCUACAAUGGCC
rnacentral:rRNA from 1 species